ACGAACGCUGGCGGCAGGCUUAACACAUGCCAGUCGAGCGAGACCUUCGGGUCUAGCGGCGGACGGGUGAGUAACGCGUGGGAACGUGCCCUUCUCUACGGAAUAGCCCCGGGAAACUGGGAGUAAUACCGUAUACGCCCUUUGGGGGAAAGAUUUAUCGGAGAAGGAUCGGCCCGCGUUGGAUUAGGUAGUUGGUGGGGUAAUGGCCCACCAAGCCGACGAUCCAUAGCUGGUUUGAGAGGAUGAUCAGCCACACUGGGACUGAGACACGGCCCAGACUCCUACGGGAGGCAGCAGUGGGGAAUCUUAGACAAUGGGGGCAACCCUGAUCGAGCCAUGCCGCGUGAGUGAUGAAGGCCUUAGGGUUGUAAAGCUCUUUCAGCUGGGAAGAUAAUGACGGUACCAGCAGAAGAAGCCCCGGCUAACUCCGUG
rnacentral:rRNA from 1 species